AUAAUUUUCGGCUAAAUAAUAAAAUUUUCAAAGAAAUAAAAAGGUGUGUGUCCUUUUCAAUGUGGAAAUGAUUAUAUGGAUAAAUUAAUGUUUACUUUUAUUGACAAAAUGCCUAAUGACAAAAAUCCCACCCACCCACUUGCUAGCCUUCCUGGCUGUGUCAUCAUAUGCUAAGCACUGCUGGAGUUAAUUGCCAUAUUCUUAUUUUGUGAACUGCUGGAGUUUCUUCCUCAUGCUGCCCAAUCGCAUUUUCCUUCUCACUAUGCUUUUGGCCUUCUGCAACCACGUACUCUCUGCAAAUCCAGGCUGAGAUUUGUUGAUUAGCCUCCUUUAUCAGCAAAAAUUACUCUGAUGUCUCUACUGUUUCAACCUUCCCGUCCACCGCCUCCUCAUGCAUAUUUUCCCUUGGCAGAACUGUCAUGAUCGAGAAAUUUUAUGAUACUACUGUAUGUACGUGCAUGGGACUUAACAUGAUCAGUUGGUGAAAGGAUUAAGCCUCAGUUGCUGUGAAUCUCUGCCAAGAAGAUGACAUUGAGCAUAUUGCGCAGUUGGGGUCGUGUGAUCCUACCAUGGCACCAACAUCACUUGUAAGUGAAAUAUAGAAGUUAAUAUAUAUCGAAGUAUUGUGAUCUAUUUGAUUCUUAUAAUUUUCACAUUUCUAUGCCUAGAUGCUGGUAGAGCUGCAAGAAAUU